rnacentral:rRNA from 1 species
GCAGCCAUGCCGCGUGUAUGAAGAAGGCCUUCGGGUUGUAAAGUACUUUCAGCGGGGAGGAAGGGAGUAAAGUUAAUACCUUUGCUCAUUGACGUUACCCGCAGAAGAAGCACCGGCUAACUCCGUGCCAGCAGCCGCGGUAAU